AGCUCAGUGGGUAGAGUGCUUGCCUUACAUGCAAAAGGCCCUGGGUUUGAUCCCCAG
rnacentral:tRNA from 1 species